AGGCCCCCAGCCCGGGUGGGACCACCAGUCCCCCCACACCCCGCACCCCGACGGGGCGGUGCAGAUCGGGCGCCACCUCACACGGCCCACAUUGAGGGGACCCCAUGACAGCGUGGCCAGUGUGCUCCCGAGCACCCCCGCAAGCCGUCGAGCCUCCAGCAGCUGAGUCUGCGCCUCCACAAAUACACACGUCCAGAUUUGCAUCUGGCUGGAUGCACGAUUAGCUCCUGGGAGUCACACCCACCCGGGCUCCCCAAGAGAUGCUUAAGAAGUCAUGAGAAUCGAUAGAGCUUUUGGUUGUAAAGGCUAGAAAGGAAUAUAUUUGCAAAAGUUUCCUUACAAUGGCAAGUCAAAAUUAUACUGGGAAGCAGUGAAAAGAAGGAAAAGAGGUAAAUCUGCUAUAAGAAAACCUGAAGAACAAUCAGAAGGCAUUUCUGACCCAUUCCCUGAGCAGGAUUCCCAGCCACGCCAUUGUUCCUGUUACAAGCACACCUGUGUACAUGUAAAUCAACAAGUCCUGAGCUCUGGGUUUAACAUAAUUGCGUACAAAUGAGUUUUGAUGCUCAAGCUGAAUGGUUGUUUAAAGGAAGGCUAAUGUGAUUAUGCCUGUAAGCUUAGGAAUGAUUUUUUAAAUUUUAUACACGUAAAUUAAAGGUUUCAAAAAGUGAAUCAGUUAAGGUACAGACUAACUGUACAUGAUGAGCACAUGUAGUGUGGUGGAAAGAGGGGGUGCUUUGGAUUCAGACAGACCUGAGGCCAUGUAUCAUGGCCAAGCUCAUGAUACAUGUGCCCAUAUAUGUACAGGUAUAAAAUGCAUACAGUGGUGUUUUGGGAGCCAUUUGUCAUGGAGGUGGUCCAGCUUCCAGAAUGGCUAUCCCAUUAUUACCAUUCACUAUCGGUGGGGGAGGGGAGUGUGUGAUAUGGUCAUGCCAUUGACAUCUUACUACUAAAACUGAAAAGGGGAAAGACAUUCUUUUUUCCCCACCAGGAGUACGCAGGGGUGGUUCAUAGAGCUGACAGUGCUGGUGUUCUGUGCAAGGUGUUUGUAGCGAUCAUCCUAUGGUUUGGUCUUAGCUGUGUCUGACUUUCUUUAGUUCCCACCGUCUCCCCCAACUCUUCCCCUACCCCAACCCUACUUGGUUCUUCAGCUUCCCUCUUAAUUCCAUAAACUACCCCAAAUCUGGUAUGUCUAUUCAAAGCAGGUAUCUAUUUGUCACUAUGAACCUUGCAAAUGCCCCACAGUUUAUUGCAGAAUGAAAAGAGAUAAUGCGUCUAAGGAAGUGAGCAGGGUGCCAGGUACAUGUAUAGAUCAAUAAACUAUAACUCAUACUCUUGUUAGAAGAGUAUAUAAGUUAUAAGAGUUCAUCUGGUCCUGAACAAAUAAAGGCCUGUGAUAUGUGAUCAUUUCAAAUUCUGCCAAGGAACAAAUCAGAGUUCAACGAGUUGAUGGUUCAGGAGUCAAUUACUUAGCUAAUGAGUGAGCCUAAUAGAGCCACCCAGUAUUUAUGUAUUUAUAGAAUAUUGCUGUUAUUGACUCAUUAAACCAGUACGUCAGGGCCCAUUCAGGAAAACAAGAAUCCUUUCUACACAGUUUAUUAGAGAGAAUUCAAUAUGGAGAAGAAAUUGUAUGCAGGUAGGAAAACUAAAAGUCAUAUCAUGGGAUGGCAAAACAACCCAGAUCAUAGAAUCAGUGGAGGGCAGCUUGCUAUCCCUCCCACCAAAGGAACCAAGGGAAACAAGCCAAGCUUGGGACUUAUAUUCAGGUCCUGAAACAGCAGCUUUGUAUCUAGUGGUAGAUCCCAGCAUUCCUGCCCGCCAUAUUUCUUUCCACUGUUUCCUUGUUUUCUGGUAUUUCCCCAGGUAAACUAGAGCACCACAGAGAUCGUGUUUCUUCAAGGACUUCCUAUCAUGUUCUCUUCCUCUGCUUUUCUCCACUGACAAAAAGGCUUCAGAGAAAUACAGAUUGUCCUAACAAAAAUACUGGGGCACAUGUGACAUGAUGACAUGCAUAACAUCUCUCAAAAACUAUCAAUGGCUCCCUAUGACCCCUACAUAAAAUCCAAACUUCUUAACAUGGAUUUCAAGCACUUACUGAUUGGCAAGAACUGGUUCUUUCUGCUUUACCUCUCAGUAAACGUUCUGUAGUUGCAGCAUAACAAAACAAAAACAAAUUAACCCCCAAAUUUAGUGGUGUAAAACAACCUUUCAUUAUGCUCAUGGAUCCUAGGAUGUGGGGGGUUUUGAACAGGACUCACCAGGAAUGGUAUCUCCAUGAUGUCUGGGGCCUUCAGCUGGAUUUCAAUACAGAGGAGAGUUCACCCAAUUGUGUGUCUGGUGGUUGAUUUCAGGAAGACUUGAAUAGCUGGGUCUCCUGGGACAUUGCUUCAUCUCCCCAUGGGGUCUCUACAAGUACUUUGCUAGGCUGGUGACUUCAGAGUAGCUGGAUUUCUCCCAUAUGGGUUUUGUUAGGGUGAAAUGGGAAAUCCCCCAUCCCUAUGGGUUCUUCUCAGGCUGGCAAGUAAUCAAAACAGCAUCAGAUUGGUUAGCAAAGGAACAAUCAACUUAAGAAUGUGUGCGCAGUAGAGGUCAUGUAGGCCCAGGUUUUCAGCUGGGGUGGAAGUGAAGUUUACAUGCAAAGGAGGGG